UAUCUGUCAGGUUAUCAUCUCGCUUGAUGCUGCCGGGCAAUAGAUAUGUUGCAUGUUCUUCUGUUGUUGCAUUCUAAUGUUGCAUUGUUAUUUGUUCCAGUGUCUCUCGAUGGCCCUGAGAGAGAACCCAUCCAAAUUUGCUGUCCAAUCCCCAACUUACAAUCCCCAAUUACAAUUCUCCAAUUCGUUUCUUCAGAUGAUUGGUUGCGUAUGAUCUUUGACUACCACGAUCUAAUAGCACAUGACUCGAACCGGAAUAGCUCUGUUGCUAUGUUGAGAAUAAGCGGCAUAUGUCGUGGCGGUUUGCAAAAACCGACCUUUGAUGAGUCGUUGGACGUUUUAGUUGUUGUGAGGUUCGCACGAUGCUGAGUAAUGAUAUUGUCCACAAUAGACACAUUUAAUCUUUCGCUCAUUUUCCCCAUCUUAACGAAUAGGCUUGCCGCAGAUGAACUACGGCUGUCGAUU